AUAAUUUUGACUUUGUUUGUCACUUUUCUUUUUUUGUUAUGAUUUACCAGAGCAUUAUUAUUAUAUAUUUUUUUCCCCUUAUAGUCACCAUAACUACUUUCUGUUGGUCAGUGUAUUGUCCCAGAAAUAAUUGUGGUAGUAUUGUCAUUUUAAGACCAUUUUAUGCAACUACAUAUAUAAUGAUAAUAUAACAGCAUAAUAAUGCAAGUAGUGCGUGCAUAAUAUUGCAUGCACAAGAUUCUGCAAAAGACAGUCAAACACAUCCAUCUAAUGCAUGUUUACAUAGAAAAACAAUAACAACAUAAAAUUGAAAAUACAGCACAAGAAGAAUUCAAAAAUGCAUUCUCUCCUUUGUGAAACUCCCUUUACACUAGCUGUGAGAGAGCACCAUUUUGCAUUGUUACAUUCACAUAUGUACCAGAACUGUGAAUUGCGGCUUUGAGUCGAUUCAGAUUUCCAUCCUGGAAUAAUAAAUGUAAUACGUUUUUUUUUGUUUGUUUGUUUUUGUUUUUUUGUAGUACCAAGUCUUUUAUAAACACAUGGUGCAGUUUUGUGAUAUAUUAUUAUGCUAUGAAAGCUCAUUACUGCCUUAGGCCUGUCACAGUAAUCCAUAUAUUGAGUUAUUGCACAAUAUAUGUAAAAUGUGGACAGGUGAAAAGAAGGCAUCAUUUGAGGCCCUGUAGUGUUUUCCUUACAAAGCCAGACUCCUAUUGUUGCUAUUGUUAUCAUUAUUAUUAUUAGUAGUAUUAUUAUAUAUUGUGUUAUACAUUUUUUUUACAGAAAGUCGAAGAGGAUCAUGUGGAAUAUGCACCAAUCAAAAUCAGAAGAUGAUCAAACUUUAAUGUUGUUCUAAGUACUAGACUAUUGUCUGAUCAUUGGGAACCUCCUGCAACGACCUCAGACACUGUGAUCUAUGGAUGAGCAUUUUCACUGCAGCUUUUCAUGUUUGCAAAACAUAGAUGCAAACUAUCCAUCAAAAGGUGAUAAAGUAAACUCUGCUGUGGUACUGAUUAUUUAUAUCUGUACAGAAAUGUGGUUUGAUCUGUGCAUGAGAAUGUGUCUGCUGCUGGAUGCUUGCAUUUGAUGUCAGUUUGUUAGUGUGUCUGAGGUGUCAACAAUACGUCUGUGUGAGCGUGUGAUGGUGAGAGUGUGUGUGUCUGAGGUGUCAAUAGUGUGACGGUGUGAGUGUGUCUGAGGUGUCAGUCUGUGUGAUCAGCAUGUCGUUGCAAGGAUUUUUUCAUUUAUGCUCACAUGAAACCUUUGCCUACUUUACUACAAAAUACUAAAAUCAGUAAAAUGGAUUUAUUUUUAUCAUUUUCAAAUUUUCCUUGAGUUUUUUUCAACCCUCAUUCCGAACCUUUCUCAGAAAAAGCCUGUUUUUAUGGGGCGGGUCCUUUAAGGCUUCUCAGUAAUCGGCCGCUGUUAUUAUUGGUUAACAUCAAACAGUAUCAACGCCCCCUCGCUACUGCAUGUUUUGAGUGUUUUGAUAAAGCGAAUGUUCUUUUACUCAGUUUUCCUGAUUGUCGACAGACUCGAGCGUGUGGACUGUGUCAGAAAGUGAAUGCGCAUCUCUAUACUGUAUCCAGUGUAGACAAGAUGGCAGCAGUGACUGCAAUUUCGGUUUGCUUUUGACGCGAUGUGACACUCACAUUCAGUGUGAUAGCGUUAGUGACUGAAUGCCGGUGGGCGGGGCCUAGGUUGAGGUCUUGCUCUUGGGGCGGUGUUUAUUCAAAUCUUUGUGCCCGGAUGACAUCACCUUUUCCCACUGUAUCCAAAGCGACGUGACAUACAGCCAAGUAUGGUGACCCAUACUCAGAAUUGGUGCUCUGCAUUUAACCCAUCCAAAGUGCACACACACAGCAGUGAACACACACACACCAUAAACACACAUCCGGAGCAGUGGCCAGCUAUUUAUGCUGCAGUGGCCAUCUAUUUAUGCUGCGGCGCCCGGGGAGCAGUUGGGGGUUCAGCUCCUAGCUCAGGGGCACCUCAGUCGUGGUAUUGCCGGCCUGAGACUCGAACCCACAACCUUAGGGUUAGGAGUCAAACUCUCUAACCACUAGGCCACGACUUCCCAGCUUGAUUAGAGCUUGAUUAAAUAAAUGCUUUGUUAAUAAUGAGGAGGAUGUUUAAGCUAUGAAGCUUGCAGGAUGUUUAAAUGGUACAGAUACCUCUUAUAAGAAAAAAGAUCAAGGCAAUUUUGAUUUCUCAUGUCAUGACUCCUUUAGUGCUGAUUUUUGACAAAAGGGUCCCAAUCAAACAGUGAUAUUCAGUGUGAAAAAAAAUCAAAUAUUAUAUACUUUGUGUGCAUGAUGAUCUCAUACAAGUGAUCCGGCAGUACUACACUCUCAGAAAAAAAGGUACAAAAGCGGUCAUGUGCAGUACCUUUUCAAGUACCUUAAAGGUGCAUUUAAGUACCUAAAUGGGCAAAAAGGUGAUGCACCAGCUUACCUUUUUUUCUGAGUGUAGUUUCAGUAGUUUCAGUAGUUUCAAAUCAUGCUAAGCAGAAUACAUCAUCUUGAGUGUUUUUUUUGUUUGUUUUUUUUUUUAAUAAAGGUAUAUCCUGCUCUUUCUGCCAGUGUCUGGGUCAUUUAAUGAAUAAAUUCAAUGUAUAAUUUACAAUUUAUGAUUUGUUCUUGAUGGUGGUAAAUCAUUUCAUUUAUUUGCAACAGCUUUGUUGAGAAACUAACAAAGCAGUAUAUA
ensembl:lncRNA